GCUGUCCCUAGUAAUGUUGUAGGCGUGGCUGCUGUGUCACGUUCACAUUGUCAGUAAGUGGCAGAAAGAGAGGCUGUCUGUAUUCAGUGUUCUGACCUAUGAAUAUCUGAAUGAUAGCCUAAUGGU